UAUUACUGUAUUGCAUAUUUGAAAAUUGCUGAGAGUAAAUCUUAUUAAAAGUUCUCAUGACGCACCCCCAUCAUCUUCGAGACACCCCAGUUGUGAUGUGGAGGAAGAAGAGCUGCCUGCAAGAUGGACACGAGCGACAAGCUGCACUGUGAACCCGGGCACUCCGUGCCGACGCCGCCAGCCUGCGGAGAUCGGAAGAGCAU